AUCCAGACUCCUACGGGAGGCAGCAGUGGGGAAUAUUGCACAAUGGGGGAAACCCUGAUGCAGCGACGCCGCGUGAGCGAUGAAGUAUUUCGGUAUGUAAAGCUCUAUCAGCAGGGAAGAAAAUGACGGUACCUGACUAAGAAGCCCCGGCUAACUACGUGCCAGCAGCCGCGGUAAUACGUAGGGGGCAAGCGUUAUCCGGAUUUACUGGGUGUAAAGGGAACGUAGACGGCUGUGCAAGCCAGAUGUGAAAGCCCGGGGCUCAACCCCGGGACUGCAUUUGGAACUGUGUGGCUGGAGUGUCGGAGAGGCAGGCGGAAUUCCUAGUGUAGCGGUGAAAUGCGUAGAUAUUAGGAGGAACACCAGUGGCGAAGGCGGCCUGCUGGACGAUGACUGACGUUGAGGCUCGAAAGCGUGGGGAGCAAACAGGAUUAGAUACCCCAGUA
rnacentral:rRNA from 1 species